rnacentral:rRNA from 1 species
UACGAAGGGGGCUAGCGUUGCUCGGAAUCACUGGGCGUAAAGGGUGCGUAGGCGGGUCUUUUAAGUCAGGGGUGAAAUCCUGGAGCUCAACUCCAGAACUGCCUUUGAUACUGAGGAUCUUGAGUACGGGAGAGGUGAGUGGAACUGCGAGUGUAGAGGUGAAAUUCGUAGAUAUUCGCAAGAACACCAGUGGCGAAGGCGGACUCACUGGCCCGUAACUGACGCUGAGGCACGAAAGCGUGGGAGC